rnacentral:rRNA from 1 species
CAGUAGCCGCGGGAAAACGGAGGGUGCAAGCGUUAAUCGGAAUUACUGGGCGUAAAGCGCACGCAGGCGGUCUGACAAGUCAGAUGUGAAAUCCCCGGGCUUAACCUGGGAACUGCAUUUGAAACUGUCAGGCUGGAGUCUUGUAGAGGGGGGUAGAAUUCCAGGUGUAGCGGUGAAAUGCGUAGAGAUCUGGAGGAAUACCGGUGGCGAAGGCGGCCCCCUGGACAAAGACUGACGCUCAGGUGCGAAAGCGUGGGGAGCAAACAGGAUUAGAUACCCCAGUAGUCCCUGUCUCUUAUAC